GAUGAACGCUGCGGCGUGCCUAAUACCUGCAAGUCGAGCGAACAGACGAGGAGCUUGCUCCUCUGACGUUAGCGGCGGACGGGUGAGUAACACGUGGAUAACCUACCUAUAAGACUGGGAUAACUUCGGGAAACCGGAGCUAAUACCGGAUAAUAUAUUGAACCGCAUGGUUCAAUAGUGAAAGACGGUUUUGCUGUCACUUAUAGAUGGAUCCGCGCCGCAUUAGCUAGUUGGUAAGGUAACGGCUUACCAAGGCAACGAUGCGUAGCCGACCUGAGAGGGUGAUCGGCCACACUGGAACUGAGACACGGUCCAGACUCCUACGGGAGGCAGCAGUAGGGAAUCUUCCGCAAUGGGCGAAAGCCUGACGGAGCAACGCCGCGUGAGUGAUGAAGGUCUUCGGAUCGUAAAACUCUGUUAUUAGGGAAGAACAAAUGUGUAAGUAACUAUGCACGUCUUGACGGUACCUAAUCAGAAAGCCACGGCUAACUACGUG
rnacentral:rRNA from 1 species